rnacentral:rRNA from 1 species
CGUUACUCGGAAUUACUGGGCGUAAAGCGUGCGCAGGCGGCUUGCCAAGUCAGAUGUGAAAGCCCCGGGCUCAACCCGGGAACUGCGUUUGAAACUGGCAGGCUAGAGUUUGGCAGAGGGGGGUGGAAUUCCACGUGUAGCAGUGAAAUGCGUAGAGAUGUGGAGGAACACCGAUGGCGAAGGCAGCCCCCUGGGCCAAAACUGACGCUCAGUCACGAAAGCGUGGGGAGCAAACAGG